AUGAACGCUGGCGGCGUGCCUAAUACAUGCAAGUCGAGCGAACAGACGAGGAGCUUGCUCCUCUGACGUUAGCGGCGGACGGGUGAGUAACACGUGGAUAACCUACCUAUAAGACUGGGAUAACUUCGGGAAACCGGAGCUAAUACCGGAUAAUAUAUUGAACCGCAUGGUUCAAUAGUGAAAGACGGUUUUGCUGUCACUUAUAGAUGGAUCCGCGCCGCAUUAGCUAGUUGGUAAGGUAACGGCUUACCAAGGCAACGAUGCGUAGCCGACCUGAGAGGGUGGUCGCCCACACGGGACCUGAGACAGGGCCAGGCCUCAACGGGGAGGAGGAAGGAGGCAUUCUUCCGAAAGGGCGAAAGGCCGGAGGAAGCAGGCCGGCGGGGGGAAGAAGGGUUUAGGUUUCUAAAACUUUUUUUAUGGGGAAAAAAAAAAGUGGAAGUAAAGAAUGCCCUUCUUGCGGUACCCUAAUAAAAACGCCACGACAACCUCCGCC
rnacentral:rRNA from 1 species